UAAGUACGUUUACUUGUAGUUUGUUUUAAUUAAAAUCGAUGUGUUUAAUCUGUAAUUGGAUUAAGUACAUACUGAAGCAUAGGCAUAACUGUCUUUUAAAACUUUUUGCACCAAUUUGCAAAACACAUAACACAUUAUACCCAAUAGAUCCAUCAAACCAAUUGGUAUCUAGUAAUACACAAAAUAUUGUAAACAUCUUGGUAUAAAUAACAGUGCCAGUACAAUUCGUUUUAAAGUACACUAUAAGAAUAUACCUAGAAUAAAAGCCAUGAAAAAACUACGCAUAACAAGGACAAUAAUAUAUGAACAUGAUAAACAACAGCAGAAUUCAGUUAGCUUUCAACAUUUACUAUUCAUGGUUUUGGUUGAAAACGAGAUAACAGAUAAGUGACAGUAAAAUGGUUUUUCUAUGAAAUGGAGACUCUGAUAAACUACAAAAUCGUUGUUGAAAUUUGAAUAAAUUAAAGUUUUGUUUUGUUACAGAGUGAUUUCCCUUGAUAUAAGACACAAAACGGAUGGGGAAAAAGAUGAUCAUGAUUUUCAAACAGAGUAGCCAUCCUAUAAUGAGUAAGUACAAGUAAGUAAAAGAUUUAAUAACUACGCCAAAAUAUACUACGCAACAAUUAUAAAUAUUAAAUUGAAGUGGUUUUUUUUUAAAAUGAAUUCAUAAUUAUUUGGAUAAUAUCAUACUUUACUUUAAAAAAAACCAUGAAAAACUAAGAUAUGUCUCUUGCAAAUACGUUCAACGUUAUGUUUAGCAUGUUCAAAGCCGAAACAAUAAGUAAUCUCGGGCAUAAUCAAUUUUCCAUUAUUCGGCUAUAGUUGAUGUAAUGUGACCACAUUUUGUAUCACAUGAUGAAGACCUGGGUGUAUAUUUAAAUUUGUCGUGAUUGGUUGCAAAAAUGAACGUAGAAUAUGUUGUGUUUGUAUUGAUUUUUAUUCUUUUUUUCUUUUUAAAUAAUCAGUAAAAGCAAUAAAUGACAUUUUGUUUUGUCCUUCAGGCUCACCAAAUUAUACAGAUGCCAAUAAACGUAUUAUACAUAUACAUGAUAAAGGGACGUUCUCAUUCUCUUUAUCAUAGUAUUUGUAUCUACCAUAAGCAACAUGAUGAGUUAACUGAUAUCUUCCAUUGUUUUAAGUAGGGUAAGCCAUGUUCAGUCUUUAGUAUUCUAAUUCGGAUUGUAUGAAAUGGUCGUCUACUGAUAAUUCACAAUAAUUUUCUUCAUGGGUAUUGAAUAUUACGUUGAUACCUUUGCCGCUUUUUUUUUACAAAAUAUAAGAAUAGAUUAUAAUGACAAUUUGUCCAUGUUAUCUUCACUUCUUAGAUGUAGACUAAUGUAAAUGUACCUGCCGUCUCUUUUUCAGCGGUUCACCGACAACUAACUAUAGAGGGAGUGUGAGACAGGUUACAUCAUUAUGUUAGAAAACAAGCCCAUACCAUAUAUUCGACAAUCAAAUGUAAGUACAGAAAAUCAGAGAAAUGGCGUUUGUUAAGUUUUAGGAAACAAGGUUUAACUUAAUUGUAGGAGCUAAUUUUACGAUAAAUUUAUUAAAAUAAAAACAAAAAAUACCCAACUGC
rnacentral:lncRNA from 1 species